rnacentral:rRNA from 1 species
GACGAACGCUGGCGGCGUGGAUUAGGCAUGCAAGUCGAACGGUAUCAUCCUUCGGGGGUGAGAGAGUGGCGAACUGGUGAGUAACACGUAGGUUAUCUACCCUCAAGACGGGGACAACCCAGGGAAACUUGGGCCUAAUACCGGAUGUGAGCAACUUUUAGUUGUUUGAAAGGUGGCGUAAGCUGUCGCUUGGGGAUGAGCCUGCGUCCUAUUAGUUAGUUGGUGAGGUAACGGCUCACCUAGGCAAUGAUAGGUAGGCGGCCUUAACGGGUGGUCGCCCACACUGGGAUUGAGAUACGGCCCAGACUCCUACGGGAGGCAGCAGUCGAGAAUAGUCUACAAUGGUCGGAAGACUGAUAGUGCGACGCCGCGUGAACGAUGAAUCCCUUCGGGGUGUAAAGUUCUUUUAUAUGUGAGCAGUGCUUCUUAUAUUAACAGUAUGGGGAGAGAGAUAUUAGCAUAUGAAUAAGCAACGGCUAACUCCGUG